AUGGGCACCCCGGCCCUCUGUCUCUUAGGGGUCCUUUGUCUCCUAGGGGUAAAGUUUACAGAUGCUGGAGUCAUCCCGACACCCAGGCACAAGGUGACAAAGACGGGACAAGAAGUAACCCUGAGAUGCAAGCCUAUUCUGGUCACGCAGCCCUUUACUGGUAUAGAGGGACCUCGGGGCAGGGACCAGAGCUGCUGAUCUACUUCAACAAUCAAGCCCCUAUAGAUGACUCGGGGAUGCCCAAGAAACGGUUCUCAGCAGAGAUGCCUGACAAAUCAUUCUCCACGCUGACGAUCAAGCCCACAGAACCCAAGGACUCAGCCACGUACCUGUGUGCCAGCAGCGUAGAGACAGUGCUGCUGAGUCACCCCCUCCUGGUGCAGAAACCCUCAAGCUUCCCCUUCUGCCUCCAGCCCCCAGCUGUCUGA